CAACUCGGGAGAAGGAACUCGGCAAAUUGACACCGUAACUUCGGAAGAAGGUGUGCCCUAUUAGUGUGAAGCGAACAGCGGAGCAUGAACGGGUUGCAAAGAAUCGGUGGCUGCGACUGUUUAUUAAAAACACAGCACUCUGCAAACACGAAAGUGGACGUAUAGGGUGUGACGCCUGCCCGGUGCUGGAAGAUUAAAUGAUGGGGUGCAAGCUCUUGAUUGAAGUCCCAGUAAACGGCGGCCGUAACAAUAACGGUCCUAAGGUAGCGAAAUUCCUUGUCGGGUAAGUUCCGACCUGCACGAAUGGCGUAACGAUGGCCACACUGUCUCCUCCCGAGACUCAGCGAAGUUGAAAUGUUUUUGAUGAUGCAAUCUCCCCGCGGAAAGACGGAAAGACCCCAUGAACCUUUACUGUAGCUUUGUAUUGGACUUUGAACAGAUCUGUGUAGGAUAGGUGGGAGGCUUUGAAGCAGGGUCGCUAGAUCUUGUGGAGCCAACGUUGAAAUACCACCCUGGUGUGUUUGAGGUUCUAACCUAGGUCCAUUAUCUGGAUCGGGGACCGUGCAUGGUAGGCAGUUUGACUGGGGCGGUCUCCUCCCAAAGCGUAACGGAGGAGUUCGAAGGUACGCUAGUUACGGUCGGACAUCGUGACGAUAGUGCAAUGGCAUAAGCGUGCUUAACUGCGAGACUGACAAGUCGAGCAGAUGCGAAAGCAGGACAUAGUGAUCCGGUGGUUCUGUAUGGAAGGGCCAUCGCUCAACGGAUAAAAGGUACUCUGGGGAUAACAGGCUGAUACCGCCCAAGAGUUCAUAUCGACGGCGGUGUUUGGCACCUCGAUGUCGGCUCAUCUCAUCCUGGGGCUGUAGCCGGUCCCAAGGGUAUGGCUGUUCGCCAUUUAAAGAGGUACGUGAGCUGGGUUUAAAACGUCGUGAGACAGUUUGGUCCCUAUCUUCCGUGGGCGCUGCAGAUUUGAGAAAGCCUGCUCCUAGUACGAGAGGACCGGAGUGGACACACCUCUGGUGUAUCGGUUGUCACGCCAGUGGCAUUGCCGAGUAGCUAUGUGUGGAAGAGAUAAACGCUGAAAGCAUCUAAGCGUGAAACUCGUUUCAAGAUGAGAUCUGCCGGGGCCUUGAGCCCCCUGAAGAGUCGUUCGAGACUAGGACGUUGAUAGGCAGGGUGUGGAAGCGCAGUAAUGCGUUAAGCUAACCUGUACUAAUUGCUCGUGUGGCUUGACCCC
rnacentral:rRNA from 1 species